GAUGAACGCUGGCGGCGUGCCUAAUACAUGCAAGUCGAGCGAACAGACGAGGAGCUUGCUCCUCUGACGUUAGCGGCGGACGGGUGAGUAACACGUGGAUAACCUACCUAUAAGACUGGGAUAACUUCGGGAAACCGGAGCUAAUACCGGAUCAUAUAUUGAACCGCAUGGUUCAAUAGUGAAAGACGGUUUUGCUGUCACUUAUAGAUGGAUCCGCGCCGCAUUAGCUAGUUGGUAAGGUAACGGCUUACCAAGGCAACGAUGCGUAGCCGACCUGAGAGGGUGAUCGGCCACACUGGAACUGAGACACGGUCCAGACUCCUACGGGAGGCAGCAGUAGGGAAUCUUCCGCAAUGGGCGAAAGCUUGACGGAGCAACGCCGCGUGAGUGAUGAAGGUCUUCGGAUCGUAAAGCUCUGUUAUUAGGGAAGAACAAAUGUGUAAGUAACUAUGCACGUCUUGACGGUACCUAAUCAGAAAGCCACGGCUAACUACGUG
rnacentral:rRNA from 1 species